UCCCUUGGCAGGACUCACGCGAAGUGUGAGACGGAAGGCGUUUAAGUUUCGGUUUCUUGCAAAGGGAGCGCACUGUCACUGAAAUUGGGGAUAAUUCCGGGAAUUUGUUAAUAGCAGUGGCGGGUCAGUAGAGGGCACUAGAGUUGAAAACAAGGAGAGCUCAGUAGAAGCGGCAAACAGCCCAAGGAGAGGGAAUUUCCUGGAAGGCGAGGCUGUGAAGGGAAACGCACAUUCUUCUGUUUGGCAAAAGAGAGUGGGAGAGGAGAGCAGAUCGGUAUGCUGGGGUCAAAGUGAGCCGAGGACGGCUUUGAACCCCUUGCCAGUUUGUAUGCGUCCGCGUGACGAGCCUGCUAAAAAUUACACAGAGCUAAUAGGAAAAAAGGGUAAUUGAAAAUUUGAUUCAGUUCAUGUAAGACCCAAAUAUUGUUAUCUCUUGUAUUUUAAUUUGGGUUGUGAGCUGCCCCGAGGCUUUGGCGAAUGGGGCGGCAUAGAAAUGUUUUAAUAAAAUAAAUAAAAGAAUCAAGGUGUUCUGUUCCACUGUGGGUAUUUGAUUAGCAUAGCAAUGAUUGGGAGAUUGCAUAAUACCUAAUUACUAAUGCUAUCAAUGGUCAAUAGAUUUACCUUCUAUGCAUUUGAGUUUAGGACAUUAUCUUGCAUUACAUGGACUGAUGGCCCAACUUACUUGUAUUUGCUUUCUUUUUACUAUUCUCAUUCUUUCUGCAUCUUUUACUGCUUUGUUUUAGCAUUUCUAUAUAGUCUCUUAAAUAUAUAACCUCUUAAAGCAGUUUACAAAAUGUAAAAAAAGAUCGCCUAUCAAUAAAGAUUCACACAAUAGAACCAAUAUAUCAGAGGAGCAUUUAAAAGCUAUAGUCAUUACCAAAUAAUCUGAAACAAACUGGGGACUUAAAAAGCAUUAACAUUACACUAAAGUAAAGACAGAGAUGGAACCAGUUAAGCAUCUGUGAGAGGUGUGUUUCAGGAGAUGAGGGAAGGGGCCUUGUAGAAGGUUGCACCUUAGAUGAUGCAGGGUUGGUCUGGCCCAGCUCCUGCCACCACCAGUUGUACAGAAGCCAGUCAGACAGACAUUUGACUUUUAUUCCAAUGCUAGUGCCAGGAUCAGUGCCCUCCACACACAUGAAGGCAGGAGACUAGCUUAGGGUAUACAGCAGGGCAGCUCAUGUCCAGCACCUCACUGUUUCUCUCCAUUGCUCCACCUGGGCCUGCUUUCUGCAAGCUGAACCUAAUGUUGCAGUGCAGCUACAGUGGUACCUGUGCACCUCUGUAAGGCCACGCAGAUGCAGGGACUGCUGGAGUGCCUGGCCAGGAUGGCUCCUGCUCACUUGGAUUGUACUCAGUGGAGCUUAUUUCUGAUAAAACAUGCAUAGGGACGCACCAUUAGAUGAAUAGCACAAUUCUAUACACGGCUACUCAGUGGAAUGCCUCAGCUGAAUUCAGUGGACUUACUCCCAGGCUUGCAUGGGUUUUUGGAUUGCCAGCACUUCCAUUUGUGCUGAAUUUCUUGAGUCCUCUGAAGAAUCUUGGGGUCCAAGCAUGAAGCAACAUCCUAUAAUCCUAAAAAGUUUGCCUUUCAGUCCCUAUAUCUGAGGGACAGCUGUGGUUAAGCCAUGAUAAGGAAAAGAAAUGCUCUUCAAGUGCACUCUUCACAUGCUCUAAGGGUUUGUGCUACAAACAGCCUGAAGCCUUCAAGUCUCCUCAAAGAUUUGUUUAGGCAUGAAGAUGCCCAGGACUGCACCCUAAUUCUUUCAACUUCUACUUAUGCCCUGAAGUUGCUUCUAGCCUUAGCAAUGGCCUUGUGCCUCAACAAUCCUGUGAUUGUAGUUUAUAUUUGUGGUGAGUCACUCCUGAAACACAGAUCUGGGGGAAAGCUGCUGGAAGUUCCAGAUCAAGCCGAUGGGAAACCCAUGACUUUGGGAUGAGGCCUCCUUGAAAAGCACUUGCUUUUCCUUUGCUUGUUUUGAUGCAUAAGAAACGACCCAACAAAUAGCUGUUGAGGUCAUUGUUAAAGUAUGAUCCAAACAUAAUCAUUUUGAGACAAAACAAGGUGAAAGCAAAAAAACCGCACAAGGCAAAUGUGCUCACUGAAAAGCUGACUUCCGGGUGGUUUUCAGAGCAAAUUAAUUUGAAAGGACACCACCUAGAGGAUGUUACUGGACUUUAUUCUUCGCCUAAAUAGAAACUUGCAGAGCUCCUGCCGGUGGUGUCAUUCAGAAGCCGGCAUGGCAUUUUCUCUGUUUUGCAAAGUUAAGCCUUAUUGCAGUUCCGCAAGUGUGAGCUCACGAGAGAAAGCACCUAAUCUACUUAGUCUGCAUUAGUCUUACUAUACAUCCUGGACCUGGGUGGUGUGGUGCUAGUUGUGUCCUCACUAGCUCAGCCUUUGAAGGGUAGGAUGUGUUGGGAAAACCCCAGAGAUUGCAAGGAAUGGGAAACUCAAAUGGGACAGUCCACGAAGCUGCCCAGGGGACUUCGAGUGGAUGCCAAGACCUGCUUAUAGAAUAUGUACAUAAAGGCUAUUUAAAUAACAGAAGCAACAACAGAAAACAAGUAACAACAUGUAUUAUGUUUACAUUCUUAGUGGUUAUAUAAAUAAUACUACGGCUUUUGCACAAUUAAAUGAAGAUG